rnacentral:rRNA from 1 species
AUGGCGUUGCGUGAUGGUGUGCUUUUUGCCAAACUUCGAGGUUACACGCAUGCGAUAAUGAAGGUGAACUGCCUGGAGAUGUCCAUCAUCGCCCCCAAAAAAGUAUCCAUCUAUCAGAUCCAGGAGACGAACCGCCCCCCAGCACCUCCCUGCCCCUGUUCUGUUCCCACGCGAGAGACCGCCGCCGACGGGACUAAUCCAUCCCCGCUCACUUUGGUUCUGAUCCCUGCAGUCGGCAGCGGGCAGCACACAUUGAUUCAGUUUGAAACCAACAACCCACAGAUUCAGCUCGGCAGCCUUGGUGGAGGCGACAUGGUCAGCACAAGGUCCAUGAGUCUUCGUAACGAGGGAAACAUGGAAAGGGCGCUGGCCAGUGGCAAGGACCGCAUCAGCGCCCUCCCCGAUGAGCUCCUCCAGCAUGUGAUGUCCUUCUUGCUCUCCCGCGACGCCGUGCGCACAUGCUUGCUCGCUAGGCGCUGGAGCAUGCUCUGGAAGUCCGUGCCUGCCCUACGCAUCGUGGAUGACCUUGCGACUGACUCCUACAAGUUCGUGGAUGAGCUGCUGCGCCUCCGUAACCCGGCGCCAUUGAACGUAUGUGACAUCUGUGAUGCGUACGAGGAUUCGGAUACAGAGGAUCCGUUAGCUUUUUGCGAGGAGGCAUCCGAUCGCAUUGCGCCGUGGCUCCGGUAUGCUUUGUUGCAUCAAGUUCGGGUGCUACGAGUCACUGCUCCUGUCUUCCCAACCGACCUGGUUCUCGUCUCUUCACACCUGAAGAGGAUAGAGCUUUGUCACAUGCAGUUUGAAGAGACUCUGGAUCUUUCGAGUUGCCAGUCAUUACGACACCUUAACAUGAAAGGUGGAUGUUUUGACAAUGAAAUCCGCCUUCAUAUUUCUGCCCCAAAUCUCGUUAGCUUGAAACUAGCUCCAGAGUCAGGCUUGACUCCAUUGCUUGAUAGCAUGCCAUCACUGGUAACAGCAUUCUGUCGAAUCUUCCGAAGAGGAGUUUCAUCACUGUUUUACUCUACCAUCAUGACACGGCUUACUAAGGACCGGCUUAUCAAGGGAUUGAGAUUAAUCUAUGAGCCAUACUUUAGUCAAGUACAGGAAGGGGAGCCUUGGCGCAGUGUUAUCUGUUGUCAGAAUGGAUUUGAAGUGGUCCCCCAUGUUUAG